UUUAAAGUACACUUUAUAUUAACUAGCUCCCUUCCCAGAUUUCCGUGCGAGCCGGCGAAUGGCGUGUGUGUUGACAAUCGAAUGUCUAUGCGAAAUUCGAACUUAUCGACUAGUAGUUCCCUGAUAUUGCUGAGAUGACCUUAAAUAGCACAUGUGCAGCAACAAGGAAGAAGUGGCUAGCUAGCUACUGCCCAGCCUUCCCCUGUGAAAUAGUUCAGAAUUUAUACAAAAAAGAAAAAGUUCCAAUACUUUCAAGUUUCAACUGGUAGACAGAAUGAAUAUUCAAAAUUAUUUUGUUGGAUUGUAAAAAAAAAUUAAAUUUUAGUUUUAAAUAAAAGUAUUUUUAAUUUCA